UACUGUCUCGGAAGUAUACACUAC
rnacentral:siRNA from 1 species